rnacentral:rRNA from 1 species
GAUGAACGCUGGCGGCGUGCCUAAUACAUGCAAGUCGAACGAGGUGCUUUUGUAGCCAUACGAGAGUAUCCUAGUGGCGAACGGGUGAGUAACGCGUUGGUGACCUACCCCAAAGUGUGGAAUAACAGUCCGAAAGGAUUGCUAAUACCGCAUGUGGUUAUCGGGUUUAGAAACUGAUAACUAAAGGAGCAAUUCGCUUUGGGAGGGACCUGCGUCCCAUCAGCUAGUUGGUGAGGUAAUGGCUCACCAAGGCUACGACGGGUAGGGGACCUGAGAGGGUGACCCCCCACAAUGGAACUGAAACACGGUCCAUACACCUACGGGUGGCAGCAGUAGGGAAGAUUGCACAAUGGGCGAAAGCCUGAUGCAGCAACGCCGCGUGCACGAUGAAGGCCUUCGGGUCGUAAAGUGCUUUUCUGGGAGAUGAGAAAGGACAGUAUCCCAGGAAUAAGUCUCGGCUAACUACGUG